rnacentral:misc_RNA from 1 species
GAAAUGCGAUAAGUAAUGUGAAUUGCAGAAUUCAGUGAAUCAUCGAAUCUUUGAACGCACAUUGCGCCCGCCAGUAUUCUGGCGGGCAUGCCUGUCCGAGCGUCAUUUCAACCAUCAAGCCCCCGGGCUUGUGUUGGGGACCUGCGGCUGCCCGCAGGCCCUGAAAACCAGUGGCGGGCUCGCUGUCACACCGAGCGUAGUAGCAAUCACCUCGCUCAGGGCGUGCUGCGGGUUCCGGCCGUUAAACAGCCUUACAAAACCCAAGGUUGACCUCGGAUCAGGUAGGAAGACCCGCUGAACUUAAAC